rnacentral:rRNA from 1 species
ACGCCCCGCAAGGGGAGUGGCAGACGGGUGAGUAACGCGUGGGAAUCUACCUAGUUCUACGGAACAACUGAGGGAAACUUCAGCUAAUACCGUAUACGCCCUACGGGGGAAAGAUUUAUCGGAAUUAGAUGAGCCCGCGUAAGAUUAGCUAGUUGGUGGGGUAAUGGCCUACCAAGGCGACGAUCUUUAGCUGGUCUGAGAGGAUGAUCAGCCACACUGGGACUGAGACACGGCCCAGACUCCUACGGGAGGCAGCAGUGGGGAAUAUUGGACAAUGGGCGAAAGCCUGAUCCAGCCAUGCCGCGUGAGUGAUGAAGGCCUUAGGGUUGUAAAGCUCUUUCAGUGGGGACGAUAAUGACGGUACCCACAGAAGAAGCCCCGGCUAACUUCGUGCCAGCAGCCGCGGUAAUACGAAGGGGGCUAGCGUUGUUCGGAUUUACUGGGCGUAAAGCGCACGUAGGCGGAUCGUUAAGUCAGGGGUGAAAUCCUGGAGCUCAACUCCAGAACUGCCUUUGAUACUGGCGAUCUAGAGUCCGGAAGAGGUGAGUGGAACUCCUAGUGUAGAGGUGGAAUUCGUAGAUAUUAGGAAGAACACCAGUGGCGAAGGCGGCUCACUGGUCCGGUACUGAC